rnacentral:rRNA from 1 species
CGCUGAAGCUUGGUGCUUGCACUGGGUGGAUGAGUGGCGAACGGGUGAGUAAUACGUGAGUAACCUGCCCUUGACUCUGGGAUAAGCCUGGGAAACUGGGUCUAAUACUGGAUACGACAUGUCACCGCAUGGUGGUGUGUGGAAAGGGUUUUACUGGUUUUGGAUGGGCUCACGGCCUAUCAGCUUGUUGGUGGGGUAAUGGCUCACCAAGGCGACGACGGGUAGCCGGCCUGAGAGGGUGACCGGCCACACUGGGACUGAGACACGGCCCAGACUCCUACGGGAGGCAGCAGUGGGGAAUAUUGCACAAUGGGCGGAAGCCUGAUGCAGCGACGCCGCGUGAGGGAUGACGGCCUUCGGGUUGUAAACCUCUUUCAGCACGGAAGAAGCGAAAGUGACGGUACGUGCAGAAGAAGCGCCGGCUAACUACGUGCCAGCAGCCGCGGUAAUACGUAGGGCGCAAGCGUUGUCCGGAAUUAUUGGGCGUAAAGAGCUCGUAGGCGGUUUGUCGCGUCUGCUGUGAAAGCCCGGGGCUUAACCCCGGGUGUGCAGUGGGUACGGGCAGACUUGAGUGCAGUAGGGGAGACUGGAAUUCCUGGUGUAGCGGUGAAAUGCGCAGAUAUCAGGAGGAACACCGAUGGCGAAGGCAGGUCUCUGGGCUGUUACUGACGCUGAGGAGCGAAAGCAUGGGGAGCGAACAGGAUUAGAUACCCUGGUAGUCCAUGCCGUAAACGUUGGGCACUAGGUGUGGGGAACAUUCCACGUUUUCCGCGCCGUAGCUAACGCAUUAAGUGCCCCGCC